GCAAACUUGGUCAUUUAGAGGAAGUAAAAGUCGUAACAAGGUUUCCGUAGGUGAACCUGCGGAAGGAUCAUUACCAAUCAGCGGGAGGCCGCGAGGCCUCCUGUACUGCCUGUUUGGCCGCCUUAACUGCGCGGUCAACUGGUUAACCCUUUGUGAACCAAAAAACCUUUCGCUUCGGCAGCUGGGCCCUGACCGGCCUGUCAGCCUGCCGUUAGCACCCUUCAAAAACUUGUUGUCAAAACAUUGUCUGAUAACCAAAUUUUCGAAUGAAAAUUAAAACUUUCAACAACGGAUCUCUUGGUUCCCGCAUCGAUGAAGAACGCAGC
rnacentral:misc_RNA from 1 species